rnacentral:rRNA from 1 species
CCUACGGGCGGCAGCAGUGAGGAAUAUUGGUCAAUGGGCGAGAGCCUGAACCAGCCAAGUCGCGUGAAGGAUGAAGGAUCUAUGGUUUGUAAACUUCUUUUAUAUGGGAAUAAAGUGAGGAACGUGUGCCUUUUUGUAUGUACCAUAUGAAUAAGCAUCGGCUAACUCCGUGCCAGCAGCCGCGGUAAUACGGAGGAUGCGAGCGUUAUCCGGAUUUAUUGGGUGUAAAGGGUGCGUAGGUGGUUAAUUAAGUCAGCGGGGAAAGUUUGUGGCUCAACCAUAAAAUUGCCGUUGAAACUGGUUGACUUGAGUAUCUUUGAGGUCGGCGGACUGCGUGGUGUCGCGGUGACAUGCAUCGCUAUCACGCAGAACUCCGAUUGCGAAGGCAGCUUACUACACUAUAACUGCCACUGAAGCACGACAGCGUGGGGAUCAAACAGGCUUAGAUACCCGGGUAGUC